CAAGCCAUUGGUUGCUCACUCUCCCUCAAGGGCUUCUGCAUGUAUGCUCUAGCUAGCUCAUGCAUCCACAAAUGCCAACAAAAUAGCAUCAGUCAGCUGGGGUUAGUAGGCUAGAAGCUCUUGCAGGGGGGCUGAACAAGCCGUGGCUUG
rnacentral:pre_miRNA from 1 species